CAUAGCGACUAUCGUGGCAUAUCAAUAAGCGGAGGAAAAGAAACUAACAAGGAUUCCCUUAGUAACGGCGAGUGAAGCGGGAAGAGCUCAAAUUUGAAAUCUUCAAGGUUCUACCUUGACAAAUUGUAGUUUAUAAGAAGUGUUUUCUGUUAGUAGAGUUGGCUAAAAGUUCUUUGGAAUAGGACAUCAUAGAGGGUGAGAAUCCCGUAUUUGUACAGUUACUUUCUAGCUGUGUGAUACACUUUCAACGAGUCGGAUUGUUUGGGAAUGCAGUCCAAAAUGGGUGGUAAAUUUCAUCUAAAGCUAAAUAUUGGCGAGAGACCGAUAGCGAACAAGUACCGUGAGGGAAAGAUGAAAAGAACUUUGAAAAGAGAGUUAAACAGUACGUGAAAUUGUCAAAAGGGAAGCGUUUGACACCAGUGUUGUUUUCUCGAAAAUCAAUUAAAAAUGGCGGAUUUUGUGUUGUAUUGACCUUAUCAAGCUUUCUGCACUUUUUUCCUGUCUUUUUUAAUGCACUUUUCGUUUAACAAGUCAACAUCAAUUUCUUUUGUUGUAAAAGAGUCAUUGGAAGGUGGCUUUCUUUUCGGAGAAAGUGUUUAUAGCCUUUGACUUCUGCAAUCGGAGAGAUUGAGGUCUGCAGCGUAGAUCCUUCGGGGUUAGAUACAUUUGUGCUAAGCUAUAGCCUUUCAUAGACAACUUGUUGACUAUGAUCAGUCAUGUAGCUUACUCGCUUAUGCUAUUUUACCUACGCUUAGGAUGUUGAUAGUCACAGCGUGUAC
rnacentral:rRNA from 1 species